GUUUGAUCCUGGCUCAGGAUGAACGCUGGCGGCGUGCCUAACACAUGCAAGUCGAACGGAUGCCUUCGGGCAUUAGUGGCGCACGGGUGAGUAACACGUGGCUGACCUACCCUCAAGUAAGGGAUAACGGUCCGAAAGGACUGCUAAUACCUUAUAAGCUUCCGGGAUUUAGAACCCUGGGAGAAAAGUUCCGGCGCUUGAGGAGGGGGCUGCGAGCCAUCAGCUAGUUGGUGCGGUAACGGCGUACCAAGGCGACGACGGCUAGGGGGCCUGAGAGGGUGACGCCCCCACACUGGAACUGAGACACGGUCCAGACUCCUACGGGAGGCAGCAGUGAGGAAUAUUGCACAAUGGGCGCAAGCCUGAUGCAGCGACGCCGCGUGGGUGAUGAAGGCUUUCGGGUCGUAAAGCCCUUUUCUAGGUGACGAGUAGGGACGGUAGCCUAGGAAUAAGUGUCGGCUAACUACGUGCCAGCAGCCGCGGUAAAACGUAGGACACAAGCGUUAUCCGGAGUUACUGGGCGUAAAGAGCGCGUAGGCGGUUUGAUAAGUUCGCUAUGAAAGCACCUGGCUAAACUGGGUGAGGCUGGCGGAUACUGUCAGGCUAGAGUGAGACAGAGGCAGAUGGAAUUCCGCGUGUAGUGGUGAAAUGCGUAGAGAUGCGGAGGAACACCAGUGGCGAAGGCGGUCUGCUGGGUCUCAACUGACGCUGAGGCGCGAAAGCGUGGGUAGCGAACGGGAUUAGAAACCCCGGUAGUCCAUGCCGUAAACGAUGCACACUAAACGUCCGUGACCCGCGAGGGUUGUGGGUGCUGAAGCAAACGCGAUAAGUGUGCCGCCGUGGGGAGUACGGUCGCAAGGCUAAAAACU
rnacentral:rRNA from 1 species